CGUGUAGGCGGCUCUGCAAGUCAGAUGUGAAAUUCCCGGGCUUAACCCGGGCGCUGCAUCUGAAACUGCAGAACUUGAGUACUGGAGAGGGUAGUGGAAUUCCUAGUGUAGCGGUAAAAUGCGUAGAUAUUAGGAGGAACACCAGUGGCGAAGGCGGCUAUCUGGACAGUAACUGACGCUGAGGCGCGAAAGCGUGGGGAGCAAACA
rnacentral:rRNA from 1 species